GGGGAAUAUUGGACAAUGGGCGGAAGCCUGAUCCAGCAACGCCGCGUGAGGGAUGACUGCCUUCGGGUUGUAAACCUCUUUCAGUACCGACGAAGCGAAAGUGACGGUAGGUACAGAAGAAGCACCGGCCAACUACGUGCCAGCAGCCGCGGUAAUACGUAGGGUGCGAGCGUUGUCCGGAAUUAUUGGGCGUAAAGGGCUCGUAGGCGGUUUGUCGCGUCGGGAGUGAAAACCUCAUGCUUAACAUGUGGCUUGCUUUCGAUACGGGCAGACUAGAGGUAUGCAGGGGAGAACGGAAUUCCUGGUGUAGCGGUGAAAUGCGCAGAUAUCAGGAGGAACACCGGUGGCGAAGGCGGUUCUCUGGGCAUUACCUGACGCUGAGGAGCGAAAGUGUGGGGAGCGAAC
rnacentral:rRNA from 1 species